rnacentral:rRNA from 1 species
AUACGGAGGGUGCGAGCGUUAAUCGGAAUUACUGGGCGUAAAGCGUGCGUAGGCGGUUUGUUAAGUCAGAAGUGAAAGCCCUGGGCUCAACCUGGGAACGGCUUUUGAGACUGGCAGACUAGAGUUGAGUAGAGGGGAGUGGAAUUCCCGGUGUAGCGGUGAAAUGCGUAGAGAUCGGAAGGAACACCAGUGGCGAAGGCGACUCCCUGGACUCAAACUGACGCUGAGGUACGAAAGCGUGGGUAGCAAACAGGAUUAGAAACCCUAGUAGUCC